rnacentral:rRNA from 1 species
GUGGGGAAUCUUGCGCAAUGGGCGAAAGCCUGACGCAGCCAUGCCGCGUGGAUGAUGAAGGUCUUCGGAUUGUAAAGCUCUGUUAAUCGGGACGAAAGAGCCUAGUGUGAAUAAUGCUAGGAAGUGACGGUACCGGAAUAGAAAGCCACGGCUAACUACGUGCCAGCAGCCGCGGUAAUACGGAGGAUCCAAGCGUUAUCCGGAAUCAUUGGGUUUAAAGGGUCCGUAGGCGGUUUAAUAAGUCAGUGGUGAAAGCCCAUCGCUCAACGAUGGAACGGCCAUUGAUACUGUUAGACUUGAAUUACAAGGAAGUAACUAGAAUAUGUAGUGUAGCGGUGAAAUGCUUAGAUAUUACAUGGAAUACCAAUUGCGAAGGCAGGUUACUACUUGUGGAUUGACGCUGAUGGACGAAAGCGUGGGGAGCGAACAGGAUUAGAUACCCCAGUAGUCC